UUUCCGGUUGAUCCCGCCAGAGGUUACUGCUAUCGGUGUUCGCCUAAGCCAUGCGAGUCAUAUGUUCUUCGUGAACAUGGCGUACUGCUCAGUAACACGUGGAUAACCUGCCCUUGGGUCUGGGAUAACCCCGGGAAACUGGGGAUAAUACCGGAUAACGCAUAUAUGCUGGAAUGCUUUAUGCGUAAAAUGGAUUCGUCUGCCCAAGGAUGGGUCUGCGGCCUAUCAGGUAGUAGUGGGUGUAAUGUACCUACUAGCCUACAACGGGUACGGGUUGUGAGAGCAAGAGCCCGGAGAUGGAUUCUGAGACAUGAAUCCAGGCCCUACGGGGCGCAGCAGGCGCGAAAACUUUACAAUGCGGGAAACCGUGAUAAGGGGACACCGAGUGCCAGCAUCAUAUGCUGGCUGUCCAGAUGUGUAAAAUACAUCUGUUAGCAAGGGCCGGGCAAGACCGGUGCCAGCCGCCGCGGUAACACCGGCGGCCCGAGUGGUGAUCGUGAUUAUUGGGUCUAAAGGGUCCGUAGCCGGUUUGGUCAGUCCUCCGGGAAAUCUGAUGGCUCAACCAUUAGGCUUUCGGGGGAUACUGCCAGGCUUGGAACCGGGAGAGGUAAGAGGUACUACAGGGGUAGGAGUGAAAUCUUGUAAUCCCUGUGAGACCACCCGUGGCGAAGGCGUCUUACCAGAACGGGUUCGACGGUGAGGGACGAAAGCUGGGGGCACGAACCGGAUUAGAUACCCGGGUAGUCCCAGCCGUAAACGAUGCUCGCUAGGUGUCAGGCAUGGCGCGACCGUGUCUGGUGCCGCAGGGAAGCCGUGAAGCGAGCCACCUGGGAAGUACGGCCGCAAGGCUGAAACUUAAAGGAAUUGGCGGGAAA
rnacentral:rRNA from 1 species